rnacentral:rRNA from 1 species
GACGAACGCUGGCGGCGUGCUUAACACAUGCAAGUCGAACGGAAAGGCCCUGCUUUUGUGGGGUGCUCGAGUGGCGAACGGGUGAGUAACACGUGAGUAACCUGCCCUUGACUUUGGGAUAACUUCAGGAAACUGGGGCUAAUACCGGAUAGGAGCUCCUGCUGCAUGGUGGGGGUUGGAAAGUUUCGGCGGUUGGGGAUGGACUCGCGGCUUAUCAGCUUGUUGGUGGGGUAGUGGCUUACCAAGGCUUUGACGGGUAGCCGGCCUGAGAGGGUGACCGGCCACAUUGGGACUGAGAUACGGCCCAGACUCCUACGGGAGGCAGCAGUGGGGAAUAUUGCACAAUGGGCGGAAGCCUGAUGCAGCAACGCCGCGUGCGGGAUGACGGCCUUCGGGUUGUAAACCGCUUUCGCCUGUGACGAAGCGUGAGUGACGGUAAUGGGUAAAGAAGCACCGGCUAACUACGUGCCAGCAGCCGCGGUGAUACGUAGGGUGCGAGCGUUGUCCGGAUUUAUUGGGCGUAAAGGGCUCGUAGGUGGUUGAUCGCGUCGGAAGUGUAAUCUUGGGGCUUAACCCUGAGCGUGCUUUCGAUACGGGUUGACUUGAGGAAGGUAGGGGAGAAUGGAAUUCCUGGUGGAGCGGUGGAAUGCGCAGAUAUCAGGAGGAACACCAGUGGCGAAGGCGGUUCUCUGGGCCUUUCCUGACGCUGAGGAGCGAAAGCGUGGGGAGCGAACAGGCUUAGAUACCCUGGUAGUCCACGCUGUAAACGGUGGGUACUAGGUGUGGGGUCCAUUCCACGGGUUCCGUGCCGUAGCUAACGCUUUAAGUACCCCGCCUGGGGAGUACGGCCGCAGGGCUAAAACUCAAAGGAAUUGACGGGGCCCCGCACAAGCGGCGGAGCAUGCGGAUUAAUUCGAUGCAACGCGUAGAACCUUACCUGGGUUUGACAUGGGUCGGGAGUGCUCAGAGAUGGGUGUGCCUCUUUUGGGGUCGGUUCACAGGUGGUGCAUGGCUGUCGUCAGCUCGUGUCGUGAGAUGUUGGGUUAAGUCCCGCAACGAGCGCAACCCUUGUUCACUGUUGCCAGCACGUUAUGGUGGGGACUCAGUGGAGACCGCCGGGGUCAACUCGGAGGAAGGCGGGGAUGACGUCAAGUCAUCAUGCCCCUUAUGUCCAGGGCUUCACGCAUGCUACAAUGGCUGGUACAGAGAGUGGCGAGCCUGUGAGGGUGAGCGAAUCUCGGAAAGCCUGUCCCAGUUCGGAUUGCACUCUGCAACUCGAGUGCAUGAAGUUGGAGUUGCUAGUAAUCGCAGAUCAGAAUGCUGCGGUGAAUGCGUUCCCGGGUCU